rnacentral:rRNA from 1 species
GACGUAGGGCGCGAGCGUUGUCCGGAAUUAUUGGGCGUAAAGAGCUCGUAGGCGGUUUGUCGCGUCUGCCGUGAAAGUCCGGGGCUCAACUCCGGAUCUGCGGUGGGUACGGGCAGACUAGAGUGAUGUAGGGGAGACUGGAAUUCCUGGUGUAGCGGUGAAAUGCGCAGAUAUCAGGAGGAACACCGGUGGCGAAGGCGGGUCUCUGGGCCGAUACUGACGCUGAGGAGCGAAAGCGUGGGGAGCGAACAGG